UUGAAUUACUGAACUGAAAAUAAUACUGAUACAUCAAUGAACCUCGGCUAUUUACACGAAGUGUUAAUAUUGGGGCCUAGGAAAGUCGAGUGAUAAUUCAUAUUUUUUUUAUUGUUCAACACAUUCAUGCUGGCAUACAAUUGCAGCAUACUACCACACAUGAGUCAACUUUCACAUCUGAUGCUAGACCUAAAUUGGCCUACAAAUCAUUGGAAAAUUACCUUUGUUGUACCACACCUGCUGUGACACCGGACCUCGGUGUUUGCAGUGUCAUCCAAAGGACCGCCCCAUUCAGUCGCCUCUUACGACAAGCAAGAGACUGGUCGCAGGGGCUAGGAUCAUGUUGGACCCGAACUUUGUGAUACAAUGUAUUUCCUAUAUUUGGUAUCACAGAACCCGGAUCCAAAACGGAAGUGACCCCUACGAUGGGCAUUAUAUCAUCAGUAAGAACAAAAACAAUAUUGCCACUUGAUGCUUCCCAUUCUGUCUAAUGGACAACCCACUACUGACACUCCAGUUCAAUCAGCCAUACCGUGAAUUAGAAUCCGCUUCGACCGGAGGGAGAGUCAACCUACGAUGAACUGGAGACUCAUUAUCCAGAAAUGCAUUACUCCCAUCCGUGGAACUAUUGACAUUCAGGGAAAAGACCAUGCAGGGUUUUGAACUUUCGUGACUAUGGAAUACAUUGUAUAUGUUUAUCUGAUAUUUACAUUCCAAUUUAAAUUAUCUUGUAUUCCUUGUUGAUAUUUCUUAACAUAUAGCCACUUCAUUAUAAGAUCGUAGAAGCUUUAAAUGUUGAAAAAAGCGCUAACAGACAUUGGUUUGUAGUUGAUCUUGAUUUUUCCGCAUCUUUCUCUUUCUUUCGUUUACUACUGAUAUCAUUCUUUAGUUGAAUGAUGAGCUUUACAAUCUUUACGGUGGAGAUCUAAACUUGAACACAUUAUUUUUACCUGAAAAAGAUUCAUGAUGACAUGAUCAUAAUUACUGUAAAUUAAUAUCAAUCCUUAUCCAUGCCGAUUGCAAAAAAAAAUAGUUAAUAUAUUAGCAGUUGUAACAGAGGUGAUGGUCCCGUAUGUUGAAAUUGAUAUCAAUGUACAUUAACUCAUAUAAAUGGUAACUUUAGCAUGUAUCAAUGUCCAUUUAUUUAUACAACCCAUCAUCUUGCUCUCAACAAUUAGACGAUAGACUUAAUGUACACCAA